CCUACGGGUGGCAGCAGUAGGGAAUCUUCCACAAUGGGCGCAAGCCUGAUGGAGCAACACCGCGUGAGUGAAGAAGGGUUUCGGCUCGUAAAGCUCUGUUGUUGGAGAAGAACGUGCGGGAGAGUAACUGUUCACGCAGUGACGGUAUCGAACCAGAAAGUCACGGCGAACUACGUGCCAGCAGCCGCGGGAAUACGUAGGUGGCAAGCAUUAGCCGGAUUUAUGGGGCGUAAAGCGAGCGCAGGCGGUUGCUUAGGUCUGAGGUGAAAGCCUUCGGCUUAACCGAAGAAGUGCAUCGGAACCCGGGCGACUUGAGUGCAGCAGAGGCCAGUGGAACUCCCUUUGUAGCGGUGUAAUGCGUAGAUAUAU
rnacentral:rRNA from 1 species